GCAAAUGGCCUAAAUACCCUGAAGGCACCAGAUCCUUUCUGAUCUUGGCAGCUAAACAGGGUCAUGUCUGCUUAUUACUUGGAUGGGAGACCACUAACAAAAAAAGGUGCUGUAGGCU
rnacentral:rRNA from 1 species